GCAGUAGGACGGCUUGUCGCUGGCUCGUUUCUUCGGAAAAUGGGCGAGAGGAAAGUCCGGGCAACACAGGGUGCUCUGCUACCUAACGGGUAGAAGUCCGUGAGGGCUUGCAAGUGCAGAAGAAAAGAACCGCCGCAAGGCAAGGGUGAGAAGGUGGGGUAAGAGCCUACCAGCCGUACGGCGACGUGCGGGCUGUGCACACCAGAGGUUGAAAGUUCGCGUAAACCGACAAAGCAUCGACUGCGCCCCAUCAUGUGGACGCAAGGGUGAGAGAGGGCGACCCGUCCAAGUCGGAGGGUAGAACGAUAGAGGCACCGCGAGAGCGAUGUCGUAGAUAAAUGACAAGCACCCGCUCAGGCGGGUACAGAACCCGGCUUACAGACCUACUGCUUUU
rnacentral:RNase_P_RNA from 1 species